CUAGGUCACUUGUUGUUAUUAUGCUUUUAGUUUAAUACUUCAACUCUUCUUCAAAGUUCUUGCACUUGUCUUUUUCAGUAGCCACCUGUUAUAACCUAACUUUUGCUUAUGUAUUACAUAAACGCAAUGAUGAGACUAGGAUAAGUCUGAUGGAGCGAGCUUUGAGGUACGAAGAAAAAGGCUCUAAUAAACACUGAAAGGCAUUGGGAAGCUCCGGAAUGGAUGGAAAUAGAUUUGGAACCUUGAAACAUGAACCAAAGACCCCGAGACUCUAUCAGCCUUGAAACAGAAUCCUAUAAAUUCGAAAACCCUACAUCGAGACAAAUGAAAUCCUAAAACCCUUGAAAAGCAUGUGGGCUAAGUCUUGAGCUAAGCCAAGCACACGUGGGCUUAGGGAGGUCCAUGUGGGCUAAGCCUUGAGCUAAGUCCAUGUGAGUUAAGCUAAGCCCAUGGGGAGUAAGGCUAAGCCCACAUGGGCUAGGUGAUUACCCCACGUGGGCUAAGGCUCUAGAAGACAAUUGUUCUUGAAAUUCAAACAUAUGAGGCAUAUUCCCUCCUAGGGACACGUGUUUUCAUCUUGAAUAUUCUCCCAAAAUCCCAAAUUCCAUUCUUUACCCUCCAUUUCUUUAAACCAAUCACACCUCAUAAAAGCCUAAAAAACCUUAAACAUACCCAUAUAUAUUCAUCUCAUUCACAUACAAAAAAACCCUAAUGAUACAUAUCCUAAAAGAGGCAAAAAAAAAAAAACUAAGAAAAUAACAUUUUCCAGUAACCUUCUCAUCUUCUAAAAGAGAAGAGAACAAACCACAAACCCACUCAUUCAAGAAGUUUUCCCCAUUAACACCAAAUAUAUCAUUAAGCCUCUACCAUAUAACCUACACCUCCUUACCAAAAUAAACCUCAUCACCAAGGAAUUUGAAGCUUAAGAAAAGGCCAACAACAGUACCCACCAUUUUUAUUUCAUCAACUCAUUCUCUCAUUCCUUUUAAAAUAUCAAAAAUCCCAUUUCUACAUUAGGAAACCCCAAAAACACCGUCCUCCUUUUUCACUCACGUUUUAUAUGCUUUAUAGAGUAUUUCCAUAUGUUCCAGGAGAUCAUUGAAGCCUAUUGGGUGUUCUAGAAGCUUUCAUCAUCUCCUACCAUCUAAGCCUUCUCUUUUUACUUAUUUUACUAAAAGUAAUACCUCGAGGGUCAAAACCUAUGGAAUAAGCGUGCUUUGAUGUGGAUGAAUCUAAGGCUUACCUCACGCUGGUAAGCUCACAAAAGCUUCAAGCUUCCAUUUUUUAUGUUGUUCUUGAUGGAUUUGAGCCUUUGGGUCUAAUGGCUUAUGCUUGAGCCUAUCCUCUAAUAAGGAUCAUCUAUAGCCUAGGUUGAAUUUGAAUUAAUAUAUUGUUCGUGUGCUUGUGUUUUCUUGAGUUAGUGCUUACAUUAUUUAGGGUGUUAAAUAAUUUUCCCCUAUUAUAUUUGCUAAUCCGUUUUGUAUCCCCUUUAA